rnacentral:rRNA from 1 species
AGCGAACGCUGGCGGUAGGCCUAACACAUGCAAGUCGAACGGCAGCACAGUAAGAGCUUGCUCUUACGGGUGGCGAGUGGCGGACGGGUGAGGAAUACAUCGGAAUCUACUUUUUCGUGGGGGUUAACGUAGGGAAACUUACGCUAAUACCGCAUACGACCUACGGGUGAAAGCAUGGGAUCUUCUGACCUUGCGCGAUUGAAUGAGCCGAUGUCGGAUUAGCUAGUUGGCGGGGUAAAGGCCCACCAAGGCCACGAUCCGUAGCUGGUCUGAGAGGAUGAGCAGCCACAUGGGAACUGAGACACGGUCCAGACUCCUACGGGAGGCAGCAGUGGGGAAUAUUGGACAAUGGGCGCAAGCCUGAUCCAGCCAUACCGCGUGGGUGAAGAAGGCCUUCGGGUUGUAAAGCCCUUUUGUUGGGAAAGAAAAGCAGCAGGUUAAUACGCCGCUGUUCUGACGGUACCCAAAGAAUAAGCACCGGCUAACUUCGUG